AACGAACGCUGGCGGCAUGCCUAACACAUGCAAGUCGAACGAGACCUUCGGGUCUAGUGGCGCACGGGUGCGUAACGCGUGGGAACCUGCCCUUAGGUUCGGAAUAACUCCCCGAAAGGGGUGCUAAUACCGGCUAAUGUCUUCGGACCAAAGAUUUAUCGCCUUUGGAGGGGCCCGCGUUGGUUUAGCUUGUUGGUAGGGUAAAAGCCUACCAAGGCGACGCUCCAUAGCUGGUCUGAGAGGAUGAUCAGCCACACUGGGACUGAGACACGGCCCAGACUCCUACGCGAUGCAGCAGUGGGGAAUAUUGGACAAUGGGCGAAAGCCUGAUCCAGCAAUGCCGCGUGAGUGAUGAAGGCCUGAGGGUUGUAAAGCUCUUUUACCCGGGAUGAUAAUGACAGUACCGGGAGAAUAAGCUCCGGCUAACUUCGUG
rnacentral:rRNA from 1 species